AUUCCUUUCAAUGGCGGCAACGGCGGUGGUCGCACCAUUGCUUCUCCCUCGCUUUAUUUCUCCUUGCUUCCUCCUCUCAACAACAACGACGAUGGCGGUAGCGGCGGAGACAAAAAAUAGAGGUAUACAUCCGCCCUAUCGUCCUACUCCUCUCAUCUUUCGAUUUAAACAAAGCUUGGGCUCUUAUGUCGUCAGAUGACGCCUCUGACAAGUCCUCCAUCAAUAUGCAAGUCUCGAUCUACAAAUAUUAGGUCUUAUUUCUUUUGUUAACAUA
rnacentral:lncRNA from 1 species